GUGUUGUAAGUGUUUAAGGGCGCAUGGUGGAUGCCUUGGCACUGGGAGCCGAUGAAGGACGUGGGAGGCUGCGAUAUGCCUCGGGGAGCUGUCAACCGAGCGUGGAUCCGAGGAUGUCCGAAUGGGGAAACCCGGCACGAGUGAUGUCGUGUCACCCAACGCUGAAUAUAUAGGCGUUGGGGGGGAACGCGGGGAAGUGAAACAUCUCAGUACCCGUAGGAAGAGAAAACAAAAGUGAUUCCGUGAGUAGUGGCGAGCGAAAGCGGAGGAUGGCUAAACCGUGUGCAUGUGAUACCCGGCGGGGGUUGUGUGUGCGGUGUUGUGGGGCGUUUCUUCUCUCAUCCGCCGAUGAGGGCAGGAGUGAUCAACCGUUGGGUUAGUUGAAGUGGCCUGGGAUGGUCUGUCGUAGAGGGUGAGAGCCCCGUAGACGAAAACUCAACGGCUUCUGUGAAAUGUUUCCCCGAGUAGCAGCGGGCCCGUGGAAUCUGCUGUGAAUCUGCCGGGACCACCCGGUAAGCCUGAAUACUUCCCAGUGACCGAUAGCGGAUUAGUACCGUGAGGGAAUGGUGAAAAGUACCCCGGGAGGGGAGUGAAAUAGUACCUGAAACCGUGCGCUUACAAUCCGUCAGAGCCCUCCUUCGUGGUGGGGUGAUGGCGUGCCUUUUGAAGAAUGAGCCUGCGAGUCAGGGACAUGUCGCGAGGUUAACCCGGGUGGGGUAGCCGUAGCGAAAGCGAGUCUGAAUAGGGCGUAUCCAAUCCGUAGGGGUUGGUGUAGUGGUGUGUUCUGGACCCGAAGCGGAGUGAUCUACCCAUGGCCAGGGUGAAGCGCGGGUAAGACCGCGUGGAGGCCCGAACCCACUUAGGUUGAAGACUGAGGGGAUGAGUUGUGGGUAGGGGUGAAAGGCCAAUCAAACUCCGUGAUAGCUGGUUCUCCCCGAAAUGCAUUUAGGUGCAGCGUCGCAGUGUUCGUGUCGGAGGUAGAGCUACUGGAUGGCCGAUGGGCCUCACAAGGUUACUGACGUCAGCCAAACUCCGAAUGCCGACACGGUGUAAUGCGGCAGUGAGACGGCGGGGGAUAAGCUCCGUGCGUCGAGAGGGAAACAGCCCAGAUCGCCGGCUAAGGC
rnacentral:rRNA from 1 species